CCUACUCGGAUAACCGUAGUAACACUAGAGCUAAUACGUGCGUAUAAUCCCGACUUACUGAAGGGACGUAUUUAUUAGAUUUAUGGCCAGCCGGGCUUGCCCGACCAGCGGUGAAUCAUGGUAACUUGACGGAUUGCAUGGCCUUUGUGCCGGCGACGUGUCAUUCAAGUUUCUGCCCCAUCAGGUUUCGACUGUAGUGUAUUGGACUACAGUGCCUAUAACGGGUAGCGGAGGAUUAGGGUUCGAUUCCGGAGAGGGAGCCUGAGAAACGGCUACCACUACCAAGGAAGGCAGCAGGCGCGCAAAUUACCCAAUCCCAAUUCAGGGAGGUAGUGACAAGAAAUAGCAAUGCGGGGCAACAUGUUCUGCAAUUGGAAUGAGAACAAUUUAAACCACUUAACGAGUAUCAAUUGGAGGGCAAGUCUGGUGCCAGCAGCCGCGGUAAUUCCAGCUCCAAUAGCGUAUAUGUAAGUUGUUGCGAUUAAAAAGCCCGUAGCUGAACCUCGGGCAACCCUGACGGUCCGCAUUAUGUGAGUACUAUCGUGGGUUGUCUUUCUGGUAAGACCGUAUCCCGGGGUUAAUUCACCGGGAACGGCGCUUACCAAGGUUACUUUGAGUAAAAUAGAGUGUUCAAAGCAAGCACGCGCUCUGAAUACACUAGCAUGGGAUAACACGACAUGACCGAUGGUCUAUCUUGUUGGCCUGUAGACCUGUUGGUAAUGGCUAAUAGGGACGGUCGGGGGCAUUCGUAUUUCGCUGUCAGAGGUGAAAUUCUUGGAUUUGCGAAAGACGAACUACUGCGAAAGCAUUUGCCAAGGACGCUUUCAUUAGUCAAGGGACGAAAGUCGGGGGAUCGAAGACGAUUAGAUACCGUCGUAGUCUCGACCAUAAACGAUGCCAAUUACGGAUUGGAGGGCGGAUCCAAUAUGCCUCCUCCAGCACCUUCCGCGAAAGCAAAAUUAUGGGCUUCGGGGGGGAGUAUGGUCGCAGGCUGAAACUUAAAGGAUGACGACGGCACCACCAGGCGUGGAGCUUGCGCCUAUUUGACUCAACACGGUAAACCUACCAGUCAGACAAGAGUACGAUUUACGAUUGGAUAGCCUCUUAGAUUUUUGAUGCUGUGCCAUGGCGUCCUAGUCUGGAUGAUGUCAUGUGAAUCGGUACGACGAAACCCUAACU
rnacentral:rRNA from 1 species